rnacentral:rRNA from 1 species
UACGAAGGUGCCAAGCGUUGUUCGGAAUCACUGGGCGUAAAGGGCGCGUAGGCGGCGUGGUAAGUCAGAUGUGAAAUCCCGGGGCUCAACCCCGGAACUGCAUCCGAUACUGCCAUGCUUGAGGGUUGGAGAGGUAGCUGGAAUUAUCGGUGUAGCAGUGAAAUGCGUGGAUAUCGAUAGGAACACUCGUGGCGAAGGCGAGCUACUGGACAACAUCUGACGCUGAGGCUCGAAGGCUAGGGGAGCAAAAGGG